GUUUGAAGAAGUGCUGUGGUGGGCUAAGAAGACCAAGACCCUAGUAAAGGGACACCUGGUGGACCUCAUCUCAGCUCAGCAGUUCUUCUUGGAACAGCAUCCCAUGGUCGAGAAAACCAAAGCCCUCCCUGCGAUGCCAUCCACACAGCCGGAGUAGGAUGUGAGCUAAUGAAAUGUGCUGCUGAUAUGAAGUUUGGAGGCAUCGUCAAUCAAGAGGAGGAUCGGAAUAUUACACAGAAGAUUUGGAGGAUCUUGAUGACUGAAGUGACAGAAAUGGAAAGGUGUUUACUGUAUGAACACAUGGAGUUAAUUCAUACAGGGGGCUAUCGCAGCAGGCAGGACAGAGUACAAUGGCUUCCAAUGACCAUCCAUCUGCCAACACUUAAGAGACAAUGCCUGGACAAUCGGCUUCGAUGUUUUGACCUCUGACCCCUCGUGAGCCCACCAAACUAGUGUGUCAAGAGGGCCCAAGCCUGUGAACUCCAGAGAACAAAGAGCCCUGCUGGAUUUAAAAGGACACAAUCCCUCAAGCCAGGGAAGAGACUGUUACGGGGCACAGGCUGACUCAGGUCCCCUGACGUUAGGGGGGUUUGGUCAGAUAGACUUGCCUAGGUCUUUAGGUAAGAUAGAUAUGGGUAGACCUGUUGUUUUGAGAUCCUUUUCUCUUAAAUGCUUUGUUCCUAUAGUUAAAUAAACAACACUUCUGCUUUGA